CUGCAGUGCCUUCAGUGCAGCUCUACAGUUGCUCAAAUGAAGAUGAAUGGUGUUGUCCCACCCACCAUAACAGGAGGACAUCUCGGUGGACUGUACUUGUGCUUGAUUUGCCACUUUAAAGAAGAAUACAGGGCAUAAGAAAUAAGAAAACAGGGAGAUAUGUCUGCUUGUAACCUGCAGAGAUUCCCUUUUUGUCUGUGUUGGUCUAAGGCUCAAGACUCCUCAAGACAGAAAGUUGUUAGGGUUUUUUUUUUUUUCAUACAGUGGAAUUCCAGUUUUGUUUCAUCCUGAUGGGGCUGGGAGGGUGGUGUAGACUAUGGUGGAUCCAGGGGUUGAAAAUUGGCUUCCAGAUCUCACCCUCUCUUGCAAUGGAGGCUUCAUGAAGCCCACUUUUUAAAUAUAUCCUUGAGAGGACUGGAAAAUGUACAAGAGAAGCACCUGGCAAGCCACAAAUCAUGGUGGCCAGGCUGCACAUGGCUUAGUGGGCCACUUGCUGUGCAGACCUAUUCUAAUGGUUAUAACAGAAUCGAUUUUUGAGCAUGCAUUAUCUUAUGAAAACCCUGUGCCCUUUUCUACCAUAUACUUGGGUUGUUUCUUUCAGGCAAAUAUAAAUGAUGAGAUUCUUACAGCAAGGGAAAUCAUCUAAAUCAAUUUCCUUCAUGAACCAACAUUUCCACUUUCCUUCACAGUCGAUAAUCUCAGGGUCAUGCCCAGCCCUCAAAAUCUCCUCUUUGACUAUAUCUCCUCAGCUUUGUGAAGUCUGUCUAAUGACCUUUCUGCACUAACGCCUGUCAAUGUCAGUGCUUCAAGCUGAAAUCCUCAUCACACCUUGGCAGUUCCCAUACUUAUGGCCUCUCAAAAUCCCACUGCUCCAACUCAUGUGUGUGUAGGGAGCUGGUUUUAUAUCUUCUGGUAGGUACAAGGUGGCAUGGUCAUGCCCUCACACUGGUAGACACCUGUGGCAGAUUUCUAACACCUGAAACAAUAUACCUGUUUACUUUGCGGAUCUUUCUGCAUUCUCUUGCAAUUUUAUAGGAAUAUACUCCCCCAUUACAAUCCCAUAUCACUUCCUCAAAAGUAUGAAAGUUCAAUUUAAAGAAUGUAUAAGUCAUGGGAUCAUUAAUGUACCAGUGUCUGGUAUACAUAACCCACAGUGAACCACUCUGCACACUGUAUUUUUGUUCACAGGUACCAUAUACACUCAACUAUAAGUUGACCUCAUGUAUAAGUUGAGGGCAGGUUUGGGGACCAAAAUUAUGGAUCUUGAUAUGACCCGUGGAUAAG